rnacentral:rRNA from 1 species
CACGUAGUUAGCCGGGCCUUCUUCCUCGGGUACUGUCCUCCAUCAUCCCCAAGAAAAGCGGUUUACACUCCGAAAAGCGUCAUCCCGCACGCGGCGUUGCUCCGUCAGGGUUUCCCCCAUUGCGGAAAAUUCCUUG